UAACAGCAGCCCCACUGGAACUAGAGGUACUUCCACAUGGAGUUGCUGUUACA
rnacentral:ncRNA from 2 species